CCUACGGGUGGCAGCAGUGGGGAAUAUUGCACAAUGGGGGAAACCCUGAUGCAGCAACGCCGCGUGAGUGAAGACGGUUUUCGGAUUGUAAAGCUCUGUUAUCAGUGAAGAGGAAUGACGGUACCUGCAGAGGACGCCACGGCUAACUACGUGCCAGCAGCCGCGGUAAUACGUAGGUGGCAAGCGUUGUUCGGAAUAACUGGGUGUAAAGGAUGCGUAGGCGGGAAAACAAGUCAUCUGUUAAAUAUAUAGGCUUAACCUGUAGAAUGCAGAUAAAACUGUUUAACUAGAGUGAAGUAGAGGUAAGUGGAAUUCCUAGUGUAGCGGUGAAAUGCGUAGAGAUUAGGAAGAACACCAGUGGCGAAGGCGACUUACUGGACUGUAACUGACGCUGAGGCAUGAGAGCAUGGGGAGCAAACAGGAUUAGAUACCCCGGUAGUC
rnacentral:rRNA from 1 species